rnacentral:misc_RNA from 1 species
UUAACUAUUUUAUAGUACUCAGACGACACUAACAUUCAGAGUUUAAGGGUCCUCUGGCGGGCACGCUGGGCAGAACCCAGGCACGCCAGGCGUGCGGCCCACCAAAGCAACAGAUAAUUAUAUUCACAAGGGUGGGAGGUCUACCCGUGAGGGCAUGAACUCUGUAAUGAUCCUUCCGCAGGUUCACCUACGGAAA